UUUGGGGAUGAUGGCAGAGAGGUCCCCCCCGUUCCCAUACCGAACACGGAAGUUAAGCUCUCUAGCGCCGAUGGUAGUUGGGACCUUGUCCCUGUGAGAGUAGGACGUCGCCAAGC
rnacentral:rRNA from 1 species